GCUGUAUUUCCCCCAUGGGUCAACCCCAAUUCAGUUCUGAACUUGUAGAAUUCAAGGUGCGGUUUGGACAGUAUGCGAAAAAUUCGAGACGAAGGAUUUUGAUGGACCUGUGUUGUUUCAAAUGUUUAAUUCAACAGCUAAAACUCUAAUUGACGGUGGAAAAGCAUUUGGUCGCCAUCGAAUUGUGGAAAUUAACAACCCAAGCUCGGGAUUAAACUCAACCGAGGUCCAUGCACGCGAAAGGGUUCUUAUUGAUCCAAUUGAUGAAUAUCCUGAUGUUCUUGCUCCAAAUUCGACCAAGUCAAAUGCAAUUCAAGGUCAUAUGUCCAUGGGUAACCAUCCAAUUGAAUGAAAUGAUGACCAAUUGAGCCCAAAUUUCAUCUCCCAAGUGGCGGUAGGCGAGCCCCCUUCUAAUCCAAAUUUCGAUAAUUUGGCUUCUAUCCAAGACAAGACGCUGCCAGUGAAUUCUACUACUUCUAAUACAUCUUCGGUGCCUGUUCAUUCAGUUAAUAGCUUGGCAAAUCUCACCGGCAAUUUCGAACCCUCUUAAUGGAUCAAACUUCAAACAACUUUGCAGCUUCUUUUAAUACAAAUGCACACUAGAAUCGCACUCAACAGGCAAGAAAUGUUGGGACCAUGUCUGGCCCGGCACCAAGCAAUGGCUUAUGUGUCGAUCCACAAGCGGACAGACUGUCGACAUAUGGACCCAUGUGCACUCUCCCUCGGUACUGCCACGGUUCUGAACUCAUCUAGACUAUCUAUUGCUUCUAUUUUGAUGCUUCAGGAAAUACUCGGGCUCUACGGUUCUAUGCCACAGCAGUCAGACCUUUCUUGUUACAGUAGUCACAAUGCUAUCUUGAUAAAUGGAAUUAACUUUUAUUCCCUCUUUCUUGUUUUGUUUUUGAUAUUGACAUUCCAUUGCAAAAUAUCCGGGUUUUUCAUAUACAAAACAAUUUCCAUUUGCUUCUUUUUAAACUUGUCAACGUUUUUAGAAUGUUUGCUCUUGUUCGAUUUAUUGGAUGGUUCAGUCUUUUCAACCAUAAGCUUUUGAUAUGCCUUCAUGAGAGUUUUCACUCUUAUCUCUUGCCCUCUAUUCUUCCUCUAUUUGGAGUAAUCUUGGAAACUAUGAAAAAUUUUCUUUCAGUAUUCUUUCCAAGUCUUCGGGAGUUUAUCGAUGAUUACACCCACUUGAAAAGAUUCUAGAAUUCAAUCUUGACCUUCUUUAGUUCGUUGAUAAUUAUUUGUAAUUUAUGCGCUCGGGAAAAAUAUGAAUAUUUUCAAGAAAUUUAAAUUUGAAGUACCCCGAUAUCAAGAAUUUCUUGGUACAUUCUUGUUUGGAUUUGUACUUGCUCUCUAAUGCAUCCCAAAUCUCUUUUGUCGAGGAUGUGUUGUUAUUGAGAUCAUACAACCAGUCGAAUAGAGCGUUGAGUAUGUGAUUGUGGCCAAUUAAUUCAUUUUUAGAACGCUUUUCCC
rnacentral:lncRNA from 1 species